rnacentral:rRNA from 1 species
UACGUAGGUGGCAAGCGUUGUCCGGAUUUACUGGGCGUAAAGGGCGCGUAGGCGGUCGUGACAAGUCACUUGUGAAAUCUCCGGGCUUAACUCGGAACGGUCAAGUGAUACUGUCGGACUAGAGUACAGAAGGGGCAACUGGAAUUCUCGGUGUAGCGGUGAAAUGCGUAGAUAUCGAGAGGAACACCUGCGGCGAGGGCGGGUUGCUGGGCUGAUACUGACGCUGAGGCGCGAAAGCCAGGGGAGCGAACGGG